UACGUAGGGGGCAAGCGUUGUCCGGAUUUAUUGGGCGUAAAGAGCGUGUAGGCGGCCGUACAGGUCAGCUGUGAAAACUCGAGGCUCAACCUCGAGACGUCGGUUGAAACCGUACGGCUAGAGUCCGGAAGAGGAGAGUGGAAUUCCCGGUGUAGCGGUGAAAUGCGCAGAUAUCGGGAAGAACACCCGUGGCGAAGGCGGCUCUCUGGGACGGUACUGACGCCGAGACGCGAAAGCGUGGGGAGCGAACAGG
rnacentral:rRNA from 1 species